AUUGAACGCUGGCGGCAUGCUUUACACAUGCAAGUCGAACGGUAACAGGCCUUCGGGCGCUGACGAGUGGCGAACGGGUGAGUAAUGCAUCGGAACGUGCCCAGUCGUGGGGGAUAACGCAGCGAAAGCUGUGCUAAUACCGCAUACGAUCUGCGGAUGAAAGCGGGGGACCUUCGGGCCUCGCGCGAUUGGAGCGGCCGAUGUCAGAUUAGGUAGUUGGUGGGGCAAAGGCUCACCAAGCCAACGAUCUGUAGCUGGUCUGAGAGGACGACCAGCCACACUGGGACUGGAGCGCGGCCCAGACUCCUGUGGGAGCCAGCAGGGGUAAGUUUUGGACAAUGGCCGCAAGCCUGAUCCAGCAAUGCCACGUGCAGGAAGAAUACCUUCGGGUUGUAAACUGCUUUUGUGCGGAGCGAAAAGGCUCCCUCUAAUACAGGGGGCUCAUGACGGUACCGUAAGAAUAAGCACCGGCUAACUACGUGCCAGCAGCCGCCGUAACAC
rnacentral:rRNA from 1 species